AUUGAACGCUGGCGGCAUGCCUUACACAUGCAAGUCGAACGGCAGCACGGGAGCAAUCCUGGUGGCGAGUGGCGAACGGGUGAGUAAUACAUCGGAACGUGCCCAGUAGUGGGGGAUAGCCCGGCGAAAGCCGGAUUAAUACCGCAUACGACCUAUGGGUGAAAGCGGGGGAUCGCAAGACCUUGCGCUAUUGGAGCGGCCGAUGUCAGAUUAGCUAGUGGUGGGGUAAAGCCUACCAAGGCGACGAUCUGUAGCUGGUCUGAGAGGACGACCAGCCACACUGGGACUGAGACACGGCCCAGACUCCUACGGGAGGCAGCAGUGGGGAAUUUUGGACAAUGGGCGCAAGCCUGAUCCAGCCA
rnacentral:rRNA from 1 species